rnacentral:rRNA from 1 species
AGAGUUUGAUCCUGGCUCAGAUUGAACGCUGGCGGCAUGCCUAACACAUGCAAGUCGAACGGCAGCACAGCAGUAGCAAUACUGUGGGUGGCGAGUGGCGGACGGGUGAGGAAUACAUCGGGACCUGCCCAGACGUGGGGGAUAACGUAGGGAAACUUACGCUAAUACCGCAUACGUCCUACGGGAGAAAGCGGGGGAUCUGAAAGGACCUCGCGCGGUUGGAUGGACCGAUGUUCGAUUAGCUAGUUGGUGGGGUAAUGGCCUACCAAGGCGACGAUCGAUAGCUGGUCUGAGAGGAUGAUCAGCCACACUGGGACUGAGACACGGCCCAGACUCCUACGGGAGGCAGCAGUGGGGAAUAUUGGACAAUGGGCGCAAGCCUGAUCCAGCAAUGCCGCGUGUGUGAAGAAGGCCUUCGGGUUGUAAAGCACUUUUAUCAGGAGCGAAAUACCACGGGUUAAUACCCUAUGGGGCUGACGGUACCUGAGGAAUAAGCACCGGCUAACUUCGUGCCAGCAGCCGCGGUAAUACGAAGGGUGCAAGCGUUAAUCGGAAUUACUGGGCGUAAAGCGUGCGUAGGUGGUUCUUUAAGUCUGCUGUGAAAUCCCCGGGCUCAACCUGGGAAUGGCAGUGGAUACUGGAGAGCUAGAGUGUGAGAGAGGAUGGUGGAAUUCCCGGUGUAGCGGUGAAAUGCGUAGAGAUCGGGAGGAACAUCAGUGGCGAAGGCGGCCAUCUGGCUCAACACUGACACUGAGGCACGAAAGCGUGGGGAGCAAACAGGAUUAGAUACCCCCGUAGUCC